GUGCCAGCAGCCGCGGUAAGACGAAGGAUGCAAGCGUUAUCCGGAUUCAUUGGGUUUAAAGGGAGCGUAGGUGGCCUUAUAAGUCAGUGGUGAAAUCCCGCAGCUUAACUGUGGAAUUGCCAUUGAUACUGUAGGGCUUGAGUACAGAUGCCGUUGGCGGAAUAUGACAUGUAGUGGUGAAAUACAUAGAGAUGUCAUAGAACACCGAUUGCGAAGGCAGCUGACGAAACUGUAACUGACACUGAGGCUCGAAAGUGCGGGGAUCAAACAGGAUUAGAUACCCUGGUAGUCCGCACUGUAAACGAUGAUUACUCGCUGCUGGAGGGCAACCUUCAGUGGCUUAGCAAAAGCGAUAAGUAAUCCACCUGGGGAGUACGCCGGCAACGGUGAAACUCAAAGGAAUUGACGG
rnacentral:rRNA from 1 species